UGUGGGAGCGAGCCUGCUCGCGAUGGCGUCGUGUCAGCCAACAUCCAUGUUUCUGUUACACCGCUAUCGCGAGCAGGCUCGCUCCCACA
rnacentral:misc_RNA from 1 species